rnacentral:rRNA from 1 species
GAUGAACGCUGGCGGCGUGCCUAACACAUGCAAGUCGAACGGGGUAUAUAAGCGGAAGUUUACGGAUGGAAGGUUAUAUACUUAGUGGCGGACGGGUGAGUAACGCGUGGGCAACCUGCCCCGUGCCGGGGGAUACCGCCUGGAAACAGGCGCUAAUACCGCAUAAGCGCAUACAGCCGCAUGGGUGUAUGCGGAAAGCUCCGGCGGCACGGGAUGGGCCCGCGCCCGAUUAGCCAGUUGGCGGGGUAACGGCCCACCAAAGCGACGAUCGGUAGCCGGCCUGAGAGGGCGGACGGCCACAUUGGGACUGAGACACGGCCCAAACUCCUACGGGAGGCAGCAGUGGGGAAUAUUGCACAAUGGGGGAAACCCUGAUGCAGCAACGCCGCGUGGGUGAAGGAGCGUUUCGGCGCGUAAAGCCCUGUCAGCGGGGAAGAAGAAAGACGGUACCCGACCAAGAAGCCCCGGCUAACUACGUGCCAGCAGCCGCGGUAAUACGUAG